UUUGAUCCUGGCUCAGGAUGAACGCUAGCGGCAGGCCUAACACAUGCAAGUCGAGGGGUAUAGUUCUUCGGAACUAGAGACCGGCGCACGGGUGCGUAACGCGUAUGCAAUCUACCUUGUACAGGGGAAUAGCCCAGAGAAAUUUGGAUUAAUGCCCCAUGGUAUAAUUGAAUGGCAUCAUUUGAUUAUUAAAGUUCCAACGGUACAAGAUGAGCAUGCGUCCCAUUAGUUAGUUGGUAAGGUAACGGCUUACCAAGACAAUGAUGGGUAGGGGUCCUGAGAGGGAGAUCCCCCACACUGGUACUGAGACACGGACCAGACUCCUACGGGAGGCAGCAGUGAGGAAUAUUGGUCAAUGGACGCAAGUCUGAACCAGCCAUGCCGCGUGCAGGAAGAAGCAUCUAUGGUGUGUAAACUGCUUUUANACAGGAAGAAACAACGCUACGUGUAGCGUCUUGACGGUACUGUAAGAAUAAGGACCGGCUAACUCCGUG
rnacentral:rRNA from 1 species